UCGAACGAUCUAAACAAAACGUCAUUUCGCUUAGGGAGUAGUAGAUUCGACCAUGGCUAUACCCUUCGAAUGCUAUAACACCCGGAACGAUGCACAUUGCCCGUCGACCUGUCUAUGACUCAUGCUACGAUAGUUGACAUUAACCUCUAUGCGCGGCGUGUGCAAUUGUCGCAAUUACAAUUUGUGUGCAACGGGAGCAGAGCGGCUCGCACGAGACCGAGUGGAAGAGGGACGAGAAAAUAGAGUGGGGGGUGAGCAGAGAAGAGAAGAAAGAGAAGAGAGAGAGGAUAGAGCAGAGAGAAGAAAGAAGGGAGAAGAAAGAAGAGCGAGGAGAGAAAAGCCGGCGCUUCAAGGAUCAACACUUUAAACGAGCGGUGCGUAUCGAUUCAAAUGAGUCAUUCGACGCAAACUAAUCACAAUAGUAAAAUUAUCGACGUAACCACCAUUACCGUCACUACCGCCGCUACCGCCAUAUCGUCACCGCCACGCGGCGCGCGUUGACAUUGUUCUAACAAACCUAACACACGAUCGUGCGUCAUAUCAUGGACAACGACCCCCUAUUUCUGCCUGAGCGGCUUUCGUGCGAACUAUUAUACAUAUAUGUAUAAUAGUUAUAUAUAUAUAUAUAUAUAUAUAUAUAUAUAUAUAUAUAUAUAUAUAUAUAUAUAUAUAUAUAUAUAAUAGUUAAUAUAUACUAUAUAUAUAUUUAGUCUAUCAGGAAUACUGUGUACACACUUCCGCUUAAAAAGCACGCGGACGCAUGUCUCCCGUCUGAAGAAAAUAUCAAGUCUCUGCCGCGGCAUCGUGUAAUACUCGUUACGUCUCGCUGCUUCGCGCUGUUCAUAAAAUUCCACAUCGAUAUACACCACCACCUGUUCAAUCGAACGAUUAGAUCAUCGUCGAUUAGAGACGAGUCGAGUCGCGAACGUGGGACGUUUGUAUCGAACCGAAAGAAAGCCUUCGAUCGAUCCAUCGAACCCGUUCAAGCAGUGACCUUGACGGCGGUGACCUCGAACUCCGAGCCAACCAGUCUUCUUUGGUUACCGUGAUUGUGGCUCGAAAGAAGAAGAAGAAAAGAAAAAAAGGAAUUCAGGCCACCGAUUAGCUUGUGUUCCCGGGACGAAUUCUGGAACGCGACCGCUUACGAACGACCGCCCUCCUGUUCCCGGUGUGUCAAACCGGCGGAAUUUGAAAAAGAAGUUUGGCGUCGCGUCAAGCAAGGUUACAAGGUUAAGUGCGCUCGUUGCACUGUAUUUAUAGCGGAGGCAAUUCAGAUCAAAGUGGUCUCAAUCUCUCUCUCUACACACACACACAUGCAUACAUACAUACAUAUAUACACGGAAAUACACGCGCGAGGACACACAUACACGCACACAUAUACAUAUAUAUAUAUAUAGAAUUUGAAGGAACCUCGACAAUGGGAGGAAUAGAGUGCAAUUUGCGGGUGGACACUUCGCCAGUGUUUCCGACAACACGGAUCAACAUCGUUCAGAAAUAAUUCCCCGGUACUGGAAGAAAUUCGAACGCGCGACGCAUCGGCGUGCGUGGACAGGAAAAUAUGUUACGUAGUAUCAAGCCUUGUGCCGCGCUAUCAGAGCUGCAGAGUCCGUUCUAAAGAGCGGAGAUGUAGGCGUGCGCGACUACGACGACCGCCGGUUUCACGUUCCGCGUAGUGACUCAACGAUAUCAUUGGUUCGCUGACAAGCUUCAAAUCCGACUCCGACAACGCUAGCCUCCGUGUACCGGAUAGCAUUUUUAAUAGCGGAGGGGUGUCUCUCCGUGUUCUUUACGGGUGCCCCGUUCAACCGACAAUUAGCCAAUCCAAUCUCGUACAAGCACCGGCUUAUUAUCGAGGCAUCUAAUCUCCGUUGCGAAAGAAAAAAAAAAAAUAGGAAAAAGAAAAACACACGUUGUGCGACGAGCAUCGAAUUACAAAUUGAACCCUCGUUCGAAGCCUACUCGUUACGAAUUACAUUCCGUCGAGUCGUCCUCGGCCCGAUCUUUAGCUCGCGCUGCCUCGCUAUUGUUUCGCAACGACGAUUCCACCGGAUUACCGUAAUCGUCUCGCUCUGACCAGAUAAGAGAAUUCCGUCGAAUCCCGAUCUUGUGUGUGAGUCAGAGCCACGCCAUCGCGAUUCUCGCGAUUAACGCGUUUUUAUUCUUCCUCGGCACGGGGAAGAGGGUUCCGCGGAACCGAUUUACGUUUUCCUCGGAAAAGUGAUCGCGCUGAUCGAUGAUUUUUUCCAUGCGAGCACAGGAGGAAAACUAUAGGCAAAAUAGCGUUGCGUAAGGAGCAAAGAAUAUCCCCGCGAAUUCUCGCGGCCGCAACAAACGGCAAAAGGGGACGCCUUCUUUUUUCUGCUCGGAUCGCGGCCGCCGAGCCCGUAAAAGAGAACCGAUUCGUCUAUCUCUCGACGUCCCGUUUAUCUGCGCGCGAUACUCUGAACGCGUCAUCAGCCCACCGUUAUCGUCGCUCCUUUAUUCGAGAUUAUCUAACAUUUAUUUUUCAACAUUGUUCAAUCGUAUGUUCGAUUAACGCGGUUGCCGCGGCACACGCGUUAGCGUAAACAUCGUUGUCACGAUGAAUAUGUAACCUACUUCUGCGCCCGUGUGCGAGACCAUUCUACUCCACAAAAUACGUGAUAAACGUGCCCGAGCGUUUCCGUUCGAGCACUGUGUAAAGUUUCUAUAAAAUAAGUUCCUAGAGAUCGUCUCGUGUGUCCGUCGAAAGGAGCGAGCAUGUACCAUCAA